GCAGUGGGGAAUAUUGCACAAUGGGGGAAACCCUGAUGCAGCCAUGCCGCGUGUGUGAAGAAGGCCUUCGGGUUGUAAAGCACUUUCAGCGAGGAGGAAAGGGUGUAAGUUAAUACCUUACAUCUGUGACGUUACUCGCAGAAGAAGCACCGGCUAACUCCGUGCCAGCAGCCGCGGUAAUACGGAGGGUGCGAGCGUUAAUCGGAAUUACUGGGCGUAAAGCGUGCGCAGGCGGUUUGUUAAGCGAGAUGUGAAAGCCCCGGGCUCAACCUGGGAACCGCAUUUCGAACUGGCAAACUAGAGUCUUGUAGAGGGGGGUAGAAUUCCAGGUGUAGCGGUGAAAUGCGUAGAGAUCUGGAGGAAUACCGGUGGCGAAGGCGGCCCCCUGGACAAAGACUGACGCUCAGGCACGAAAGCGUGGGGAGCAAACAGGAUUAGAUACCCUGGUAGUCCACGCCGUAAACGAUGUCUACUCGGAGUUUGGUGUCUUGAACACUGGGCUCUCAAGCUAACGCAUUAAGUAGACCG
rnacentral:rRNA from 1 species